rnacentral:rRNA from 1 species
UGAGUGCGAGCUGCUACGGCAGCGAAGUUGGUGACGUCAUGCUUCCAAGAAAAGCCCUAUACCCGUUAAGGCAUCAUGGCCUGUACCCGAAACCGACACAGGUGGGGUGGUAGAGAAUACCGAGGGGCGCGAGGUAACUCUCUCUAAGGAACUCGGCAAAAUGGCCCCGUAACUUCGGGAGAAGGGGUGCCACCGCAAGGUGGUCGCAGUGAAGAGGCCCAGGCGACUGUUUACCAAAAACGCAGGUCUCCGCUAAGUCGCAAGACGAUGUAUGGGGGCUGACGCCUGCCCAGUGCCGGAAGGUUAAGGAAGCUGGUCAGCGCAAGCGAAGCUAGCGACUGAAGCCCCGGUGAACGGCGGCCGUAACGAUAACGGUCCUAAGGUAGCGAAAUUCUUUGUCGGGUAAGUUCCGACCCGCACGAAAGGCGUAACGAUCUGGGCGCUGUCUCGGAGAGAGGCUCGGCGAAAUAGAAUUGUCUGUGAAGAUGCGGACUACGUGCGCCCGGACAGAAAGACCCUAUGAAGCUUUACUGUAGCUUGGUAUUGUGCCCGGGCUCGCAAUGCGCAGGAUAGGUGGGAGGCUUUGAUCAUCGGCUUGCGGGUCGAUGUGAGCCAACGGUGAGAUACCACUCUUUGCGAGCUAGGGUUCUAACGGCCACCCGUCAUCCGGGGGCCGGACAGUACCUGGUGGGCAGUUUGACUGGGGCGGUCGCCUCCUAAAAGGUAACGGAGGCGCGCAAAGGUUUGCUCAGGCUGGUUGGAAAUCAGCCGACGAGUGUAAAAGCAGAAGCAAGCUUGACUGUGAGACCAACAAGUCGAACAGGGAGGAAACUCGGCUUUAGUGAUCCGACGGUUCUGAGUGGAAGGGCCGUCGCUCAACGGAUAAAAGUUACUCUAGGAUAACAGGCUGAUCUCCCCCAAGAGUUCACAUCGACGGGGAGGUUUGGCACCUCGAUGUCGGCUCAUCGCAACCUGGGGCUGAAGUCGGUCCCAAGGGUUGGGCUGUUCGCCCAUUAAAGCGGUACGCGAGCUGGGUUCAGAACGUCGUGAGACAGUUCGGUCCAUAUCCGGUGCACGCGCAGGAAUAUUGAGAGGAUUUCUCCCUAGUACGAGAGGACCGGGAGGAACGCACCUCUGGUGUACCAGUUAUCGUGCCAACGGUAAACGCUGGGUAGCCAUGUGCGGAGUGGAUAACCGCUGAAAGCAUCUAAGUGGGAAGCCCACCUCAAGAUGAGUAUUCCCAUGGCGUAAGCCAGUAAGGUCACGGGAAGAACACCCGUUGAUAGGCUCUAUGUGGAAGCGCAGUAAUGCGUGAAGCAGAGGAGUACUAAUAGACCGAGGGCUUGACC